UACAGAGGUCUCAAGCGUUGUUCGGAUUCAUUGGGCGUAAAGGGUGCGUAGGUGGCGCGGUAAGUCGGGUGUGAAAUCUCGGAGCUUAACUCCGAAAUUGCAUUCGAUACUGCCGUGCUCGAGGACUGGAGAGGAGACUGGAAUUCAUGGUGUAGCAGUGAAAUGCGUAGAGAUCAUGAGGAAGACCAGUGGCGAAGGCGGGUCUCUGGACAGUUCCUGACACUGAGGCACGAAGGCCAGGGGAGCAAACAGG
rnacentral:rRNA from 1 species